UGAUGGAUGGACCCGCGGUGCAUUAGCUAGUUGGUGAGGUAACGGCUCACCAAGGCCACGAUGCAUAACCGACCUGAGAGGGUGAUCGGCCACGCUGGGACUGACACACGGCCCAGACUCCUACGGGAGGCAACUCUACGGAAUCUUCGGCAAUGGACGAAAGUCUGACCGAGCAACGCCGCGUGAGUGAAGAAGGUUUUCGGAUCUGUUAACUCUGUUGUUAGAGAAGAACAAGGACGUUAGUAACUGAACGUCCCCUGACGGUAUCUAACCAGAAAGCCACGGCUAACUACGUGCCAGCAGCCGCGGUAAUACGUAGGUGGCAAGCGUUGUCCGGAUUUAUUGGGCGUAAAGC
rnacentral:rRNA from 1 species